rnacentral:rRNA from 1 species
GAUGAACGCUAGCGGCAGGCCUAAUACAUGCAAGUCGAGGGGCAGCAGUAUCUUCGGAUAGCUGGCGACCGGCGCACGGGUGCGUAACACGUAUGCAACCUACCUACUACAGGAAGAUAGCCUCCGGAAACGGUGAUUAAUAUUCCAUAGUACCACUGAAUCGCAUGGUUUAGUGGUUAAAGUUCCGACGGUAGUAGAUGGGCAUGCGUCCCAUUAGCUAGAUGGUGAGGUAACGGCUCACCAUGGCAACGAUGGGUAGCGGGUCUGAGAGGACGAUCCGCCACACUGGUACUGAGAUACGGACCAGACUCCUACGGGAGGCAGCAGUAGGGAAUAUUGGGCAAUGGGCGAAAGCCUGACCCAGCCAUGCCGCGUGAGGGAAGACUGCUUUCUGAGUUGUAAACCUCUUUUAUCAGGGAAGAACAGGGAUUACGUGUAGUCCUAUGACGGUACCUGAUGAAUAAGCACCGGCUAACUCCG